AUACGAAGGGUGCAAGCGUUGUUCGGAUUUACUGGGCGUAAAGCGCGCGCAGGCGGAUUGGUAAGUCAGAUGUGGAAUCUCGGGGCUCAACCCCGAAACUGCGUCUGAAACUAUUAAUCUAGAGUCUUGGAGAGGGAAGGGGAAUUUCACAUGUAGGGGUAAAAUCCGUAGAGAUGUGAAGGAACACCAGAGGCGAAGGCGCCUUCCUGGACAAGUACUGACGCUGAGGCGCGAAAGCGUGGGGAGCAAACAGGAUUAGAUACCCUAGUAGUCC
rnacentral:rRNA from 1 species